rnacentral:ncRNA from 1 species
CACAUAGGUUUGGUCCCGGCCUUGAAAUCAGUUAUUACUUGACUUACACAUGCAAGUCUCCGCAUACCCGUGAAAACGCCCUCCCACCCACUUUCAGGUGAGGAGCCGAUAUCAGGCACAAAGUAGCCCAAAACAUCUAGCCACGCCACACCCAUAAGGGCCCUCAGCAGUGAUUAACAUUAAGUAUAAACGUCAGUUUGACUUAGCCAAAUGAAUAACAGAGCCGGCCAAUCUGGUGCCAGCCGCCGCGGUUACACCACGUGGCUCAAAUUGAUUUUAAUGCGGCGUAAAGCGUGAUUAAAGAAAUAACCCCUGGGGUCAAACUUAAAUUAAGCUGUCGCACGAUUAUUCUUAAGAAGUCCUAUAUCGAAAGAUACCCCAAUACACCAACUUGAAUUCACAACAAUUAGGAUACAAACUGGGAUUAGAUACCCCACUAUGCCUGAUCGUAAACUUUUACUUACAUUAUAUCGCCAGGGGACUACGAGCAAAGCUUAAAACCCAAAGGACUUGACGGUGCCCCACAUCCUUCUAGAGGAGCCUGUCCUACAAUCGAUACUCCACGUUUAACCUCACCAUUUUUAGUUCAUCAGCCUGUAUACUUCCGUCGUCAGCUUACCGCGUGAGCGAAUAAGUAAGCCCAAUGUCAUAUCAAUACGUCAGGUCAAAGUGCAGCAUAUAAAAUGGUAAGAGAUGGGCUACACUCUCUAAUAUAGAAGACACGAAAGAUUAUGUGAAACCAUAUUCAGAAGGCGGAUUUAGCAGUAAGGAAAGAUUAGAAUGCCUCCCUUAACCCGGCACUGGGGUGUGUACACACCGCCCGUCACCCUCUUCAAUAAACCCCCUUAGUAAAUAACAAUACUCCCCCCAAAAGAAGAGGUAAGUCGUAACAUGGUAAGUAUACCGGAAGGUGUGCUUGGAAG